UGCGUGCCGCGGGGGAUGCCGGGAGCGCGCAGUGGCGGCAGCGACGCCGACGGCAGUAAUAUCGGCGGCAAUACCGGGGACGGGAGCGGGGCGGUGACCGUGUGGGAGGUGGUCUCACUCUUGGGAAAGCUGCUGGGCACCGUCGCCGCGCUGAAGGUGGUUCUGUACCUGCUCCGGGUGUGCUUAGCGAUGGCCUGGAAAUCCGGCGGCGCCAGCCACUCGGAGCUUAUCCACAAUCUCCGCAAAAAUGGAAUCAUCAAGACAGAUAAAGUAUUUGAAGUAAUGCUGGCUACAGACCGCUCGCACUAUGCAAAAUGUAACCCAUAUAUGGAUUCUCCACAAUCAAUAGGUUUCCAAGCAACAAUCAGUGCUCCACACAUGCAUGCAUAUGCACUAGAACUUCUAUUUGAUCAAUUACAUGAAGGAGCUAAAGCUCUUGAUGUAGGAUCUGGAAGUGGAAUCCUUACUGCAUGUUUUGCACGUAUGGUUGGAUGUAAUGGAAAAGUCAUAGGAAUUGAUCACAUUAAAGAGCUAGUAGAUGAAUCAAUAAAUAAUGUCAGAAAAGAUGAUCCAACACUUUUGACUUCAGGGAGAGUACAACUGGUUGUGGGAGAUGGAAGAAUGGGAUAUGCUGCAGAAGCCCCUUACGAUGCAAUUCAUGUUGGAGCUGCAGCCCCAGUUGUGCCACAGGCACUAAUAGACCAGUUAAAGCCUGGUGGAAGAUUGAUAUUGCCAGUUGGUCCUGCAGGUGGAAAUCAAAUGUUGGAGCAGUACGACAAGCUACAAGAUGGCAGUGUCAAAAUGAAACCUCUUAUGGGAGUGAUAUAUGUGCCUUUAACAGAUAAAGAGAAGCAGUGGUCCAGUUGCUGGCACAGUGCUCCACCUGGCUGAGUGAAUGGCUUCUUUUGGAGCUGAUAAAGCUGCCUUAUGAAGUCAGCUGACAGGGAUGAGCUGUAAAGCAACAUCAGCUUGACCAGUCUAUAAUAUUGCAGUGGAUCGCUCAUCUCAGUCCUUAAAGCUUUUUGAAAACCAAUAGCAUCACAGCUUGUUUUGGACUUUGUUACACUGUUAUUUUCAGCAUGAAAUUUGUGGUUUUGUAGGGUCUUCUAAUUCUUCGAAGAGGCACAGAGCCAAAUGGUAGAGGAAGGAUACAAAGUAUAAAUCUGUGUGUUAUUACUUUAACAUGCCCACGUUUUACUUUAAAAUAUUAAAAGAAGGGUUUCUGCAAAAUGAAACAGUUAGUUUGUGAAUUGAUUUUGAGGAGUGAAUUUUCUUUUCUUGGACACUUAAUUCUAUUCUGAUAUUAAUUUAUGAGAUUUCUUUUGUGCAUCAGAUAACACCACCAUUCACAAGUUAAGAUUCUUGGUAUUUGGAUGUCUAUUAGAGACUACUAAGAAAAUAGAGAUGAGCUUUCUUUUUAAAGCUUUUGAUGUGGUAUCAUAGAAUAGCAUGUUGUAGAUACAAUCAGCUGCUUUGUUACCUUAAAACUAGGCAUUGUAAAUACUGAAACUUAAGAAGAUGGCAGGUAAUGUCCUAUCAACACUCAGUUGUUCAGAUUGGACAUAACUGACAUAGUUCCCCCCACCCUUUCUCUCCCUCUCCCCAUCUCCCUCUCUCUCUCUCUCUAAAACCAAUAGGAGACUUGUAGUUCAGUAUUGUUUUUUCUGUUUCUAGUUUGCUGCUGAUAAUGUAUAUGAAUCUAACAUGCUGUGUAAGCUGUGUGCUGGAUUCUGCACAGCUUAUGCAGUGCUGCUUUGCCAAAUAAAGUUAAAAGCAAAAGAGGCA